rnacentral:lncRNA from 1 species
AUGGCUCCCUUCGGCGGGGAAGGAGCUACCACCCUCCCUCCCCACCAGCCACCCAGGCCUUUUGUUUCUUUUUCAAACCACACGAAAAGGAGACACGAAAUUCAGCUGCAGACCUGCCUGGGUCAGGACGAGUGCAGGCAGCUCUCGCCAACACCCUCAACGCACCUCUGGGUGCACACAGCUUUUGGGGAGGGGGUGCAUUAUUUGCUCCCGUGGCUGAGAAGUCCCGCUGGAGACAGGCUUCAUCUGCCAGCGCAGCUCCGCAGCAGCAAAGCCUGGCUUCUCCCCCUGGCCAGCACGCACGCAGACACCUCGCUGCCUCGCUGCCGGCUGGCUUCUGGGGGCAGCGGAGCUGCGGGAAGCAGCGCCCAGCGCCCACCCGCACCCUGCCCGCACCCCCGCCCGGCCCGGGGGCCCUGCAGGGCAGCGGGCUCGGGCGGGAGGGCAGGGGGGGUCCGGCCAACAAGUGCCCGCUGCGGGGUGGGCGCCGCGAAAUGGAGCCGGGCUCCCAGGGCGCCUCGUCCCGCCCGGCACCCGCAGCGCGCAGGGGACGGGCGAGGGCACAGCCGGGGACAGCGCGGGGCGAGCAGCAGCCGCCCGCACCCCCCACCCCCCACCCCAGCAGCAGCAGGUGCAGCGCCCCCAGCCCACGCGUGCCCGUGGGUGGGGGUCUCCCCGCCGCAGGCCCCGGCACCCACCUCGGCUCGGCUCGGCGGCUGCAGCCGCCCUGCUCCUGCUCCGGCUCCGGCUGCGGCUGCGGCUCCUGCGGCCCCGCUGCGAGCCCUGACCCCGCGCCGGGCGCUGCUCUACCUGCGGCGGCGCGGAGCCGAGCGGGGCUGGGCCGGGCCGGGCUGCCGGGGACGGGGGGGGGCUGCCCGCAUCGCCCGGCCCCCGCCCGCCUCGGCGCCUCCCCGCCGCGGGCUGGGCCCCCGCGGCCCCCUCCUCCCGGCGGCGAGGAGGAGGAGGAGGAGGAGGAGGGGGAGGAAGGAGGAGGGCCGGGUGCCCGCGUGUAACAAGUUUGGGUUGCCCCGCAGUAUGGCGGCCGGCCGGGCUGUGGUUGUGAUCCCCCUGUAG